UACAGAGGUCCCAAGCGUUGUUCGGAUUCACUGGGCGUAAAGGGUGCGUAGGUGGCGGGGUAAGUUUGAUGUGAAAUCUCCGGGCUUAACCCGGAAACUGCAUUGAAUACUAUUCUGCUCGAGGUUUGGAGGGGGGACUGGAAUUCUCGGUGUAGCAGUGAAAUGCGUAGAUAUCGAGAGGAACACCAGUGGCGAAGGCGAGUCCCUGGACAACACCCGACACUGAGGCACGAAAGCUAGGGGAGCAAACAGG
rnacentral:rRNA from 1 species